GACGAAGGGGACUAGCGUUGUUCGGAAUUACUGGGCGUAAAGCGAGUGUAGGUGGUUGUCGUAGUCAGGCGUGAAAGCCUUGAGCUCAACUCAAGAAAUGCGCUUGAUACUGGGCAGCUAGAGGACCGGAGAGGAUAGUGGAAUUCCCAGUGUAGUGGUGAAAUACGUAGAGAUUGGGAAGAACACCAGUGGCGAAGGCGGCUAUCUGGACGGUUUCUGACACUAAGACUCGAAAGCGUGGGGAGCAAACAGG
rnacentral:rRNA from 1 species